CCCCUUAGCUCUGACCCGAGAGGCAGGCAAUGGUUGGGAUGACUAAAACUCCUCCUCUGUCUGCCAGGGUCGUGCUGGGUCCUACGUGUGCUCUGUUCUGGCCCCUCUUGUCUGGCCCCU